AGGAGUGACGUGGGCUAGCUCCAAUGCUUGUGGGGGCAACAGGGGUGUACAGGGGUACACAGAACCGGCUAACCAACAUACAUCAGAACCCCUAAUCUGAACCCAAACCCAGGAUACAACAUCUGAUUGUUGAGCAUUGGUUUCUAUGAAAGAAAAUAUCUUAUAGCCAUGCCUGUCUACUAAGGGAGGUACCAGAGCUGUGAAAUUACCAGAGUUUAAACUUUUUGAAAGCACAAGACUCCUAAAGCAAGUUAGUAGGUCUCACUGUGAACAAAGGGUGAUAAUAGGAGCCAGACACAUCAAGAAAAACAACCCCAUAUGAACAGCACAGGAAAGCUAUUGUGAAGGACCUCAGAGCAUCCCUGCCUUAAAGCAGGGUCAGCUAUGGAGCUGGACCACGUUGCUCAUGCCCUGGGAACAUUCACAUCUCAGAGAAGAUCUGGACAUUCAGGUGUGCUUCACUGAAGUCAAAAAACACUUUGAGAUCUUCAGAUGAAAGAAACAAAUAUCCAGGACAAAAGGAAGCUAUUGCAUAGUUGAAUGGUGUUUAAAGGCAUGAAGAUAAACAAAGUCUAUUGUAAUUAUGCCAGGGGCAUAAUUUUGACUGUUCUGCUCUGCCUUCUAUAAUUAGUCUUGAAAGGAAAUACUGUUAUAUUCAGCCACGAAAUGAAGUGGAAGAACUGAGUUUAUUAGAGAUUAAUAAAGUCUCCAUGAACAUUCCUAAAUAGAUACUGAAUCCUUAAGUAUAGAUUAUAGGUCAGAACAUGUUGCCACUACUUUCUCAGAGGGCAAGAAAUUGAGUACACUAUAUUAACUAAAAUGAGAGUGAAUGGAGGGCUGUCAAAUGUAAUGGAAGAUUUUA